rnacentral:rRNA from 1 species
AGCGUACACGGUGGAUGCCCUGGCAGUCAGAGGCGAUGAAGGACGUGCUAAUCUGCGAUAAGCGUCGGUAAGGUGAUAUGAACCGUUAUAACCGGCGAUUUCCGAAUGGGGAAACCCAGUGUGUUUCGACACACUAUCAUUAACUGAAUCCAUAGGUUAAUGAGGCGAACCGGGGGAACUGAAACAUCUAAGUACCCCGAGGAAAAGAAAUCAACCGAGAUUCCCCCAGUAGCGGCGAGCGAACGGGGAGCAGCCCAGAGCCUGAAUCAGUGUGUGUGUUAGUGGAAGCGUCUGGAAAGGCGCGCGAUACAGGGUGACAGCCCCGUACACAAAAAUGCACAUGCUGUGAGCUCGAUGAGUAGGGCGGGACACGUGGUAUCCUGUCUGAAUAUGGGGGGACCAUCCUCCAAGGCUAAAUACUCCUGACUGACCGAUAGUGAACCAGUACCGUGAGGGAAAGGCGAAAAGAACCCCGGCGAGGGGAGUGAAAAAGAACCUGAAACCGUGUACGUACAAGCAGUGGGAGCACAGAGCAAUCUGUGUGACUGCGUACCUUUUGUAUAAUGGGUCAGCGACUUAUAUUCUGUAGCAAGGUUAACCGAAUAGGGGAGCCGAAGGGAAACCGAGUCUUAACUGGGCGUUAAGUUGCAGGGUAUAGACCCGAAACCCGGUGAUCUAGCCAUGGGCAGGUUGAAGGUUGGGUAACACUAACUGGAGGACCGAACCGACUAAUGUUGAAAAAUUAGCGGAUGACUUGUGGCUGGGGGUGAAAGGCCAAUCAAACCGGGAGAUAGCUGGUUCUCCCCGAAAGCUAUUUAGGUAGCGCCUCGUGAAUUCAUCUCCGGGGGUAGAGCACUGUUUCGGCAAGGGGGUCAUCCCGACUUACCAACCCGAUGCAAACUGCGAAUACCGGAGAAUGUUAUCACGGGAGACACACGGCGGGUGCUAACGUCCGUCGUGAAGAGGGAAACAACCCAGACCGCCAGCUAAGGUCCCAAAGUCAUGGUUAAGUGGGAAACGAUGUGGGAAGGCCCAGACAGCCAGGAUGUUGGCUUAGAAGCAGCCAUCAUUUAAAGAAAGCGUAAUAGCUCACUGGUCGAGUCGGCCUGCGCGGAAGAUGUAACGGGGCUAAACCAUGCACCGAAGCUGCGGCAGCGACGCUUAUGCGUUGUUGGGUAGGGGAGCGUUCUGUAAGCCUGCGAAGGUGUGCUGUGAGGCAUGCUGGAGGUAUCAGAAGUGCGAAUGCUGACAUAAGUAACGAUAAAGCGGGUGAAAAGCCCGCUCGCCGGAAGACCAAGGGUUCCUGUCCAACGUUAAUCGGGGCAGGGUGAGUCGACCCCUAAGGCGAGGCCGAAAGGCGUAGUCGAUGGGAAACAGGUUAAUAUUCCUGUACUUGGUGUUACUGCGAAGGGGGGACGGAGAAGGCUAUGUUGGCCGGGCGACGGUUGUCCCGGUUUAAGCGUGUAGGCUGGUUUUCCAGGCAAAUCCGGAAAAUCAAGGCUGAGGCGUGAUGACGAGGCACUACGGUGCUGAAGCAACAAAUGCCCUGCUUCCAGGAAAAGCCUCUAAGCAUCAGGUAACAUCAAAUCGUACCCCAAACCGACACAGGUGGUCAGGUAGAGAAUACCAAGGCGCUUGAGAGAACUCGGGUGAAGGAACUAGGCAAAAUGGUGCCGUAACUUCGGGAGAAGGCACGCUGAUAUGUAGGUGAGGUCCCUCGCGGAUGGAGCUGAAAUCAGUCGAAGAUACCAGCUGGCUGCAACUGUUUAUUAAAAACACAGCACUGUGCAAACACGAAAGUGGACGUAUACGGUGUGACGCCUGCCCGGUGCCGGAAGGUUAAUUGAUGGGGUUAGCGGUAACGCGAAGCUCUUGAUCGAAGCCCCGGUAAACGGCGGCCGUAACUAUAACGGUCCUAAGGUAGCGAAAUUCCUUGUCGGGUAAGUUCCGACCUGCACGAAUGGCGUAAUGAUGGCCAGGCUGUCUCCACCCGAGACUCAGUGAAAUUGAACUCGCUGUGAAGAUGCAGUGUACCCGCGGCAAGACGGAAAGACCCCGUGAACCUUUACUAUAGCUUGACACUGAACAUUGAGCCUUGAUGUGUAGGAUAGGUGGGAGGCUUUGAAGUGUGGACGCCAGUCUGCAUGGAGCCGACCUUGAAAUACCACCCUUUAAUGUUUGAUGUUCUAACGUGGACCCGUGAACCGGGUUGCGGACAGUGUCUGGUGGGUAGUUUGACUGGGGCGGUCUCCUCCUAAAGAGUAACGGAGGAGCACGAAGGUUGGCUAAUCCUGGUCGGACAUCAGGAGGUUAGUGCAAUGGCAUAAGCCAGCUUGACUGCGAGCGUGACGGCGCGAGCAGGUGCGAAAGCAGGUCAUAGUGAUCCGGUGGUUCUGAAUGGAAGGGCCAUCGCUCAACGGAUAAAAGGUACUCCGGGGAUAACAGGCUGAUACCGCCCAAGAGUUCAUAUCGACGGCGGUGUUUGGCACCUCGAUGUCGGCUCAUCACAUCCUGGGGCUGAAGUAGGUCCCAAGGGUAUGGCUGUUCGCCAUUUAAAGUGGUACGCGAGCUGGGUUUAGAACGUCGUGAGACAGUUCGGUCCCUAUCUGCCGUGGGCGCUGGAGAACUGAGGGGGGCUGCUCCUAGUACGAGAGGACCGGAGUGGACGCAUCACUGGUGUUCGGGUUGUCAUGCCAAUGGCACUGCCCGGUAGCUAAAUGCGGAAGAGAUAAGUGCUGAAAGCAUCUAAGCACGAAACUUGCCCCGAGAUGAGUUCUCCCUGACUCCUUGA